UUGGCGAACGGGUGAGUAACGCGUGAGUAACCUGCCCUGGAGUGGGGGACAACAGUUGGAAACGACUGCUAAUACCGCAUAAGCCCACGGUAUCGCAUGGUACUGAGGGAAAAGGAUUUAUUCGCUUCAGGAUGGACUCGCGUCCAAUUAGCUAGUUGGUGAGGUAACGGCCCACCAAGGCGACGAUUGGUAGCCGGACUGAGAGGUUGAACGGCCACAUUGGGACUGAGACACGGCCCAG
rnacentral:rRNA from 1 species